rnacentral:sRNA from 1 species
UUUUUUUUUUUUUUUUUUUUUUUUUUUUUUGAGAGGGAGCCUUGCUCUGUUGUCCAGGCUGGAGUGCAGUGGCAUAAUCUCAGCUCACUGCAACCCCUAUCUCCCAGGUUCAAGCCUCAGCCUUCUGCAUAGCUGGGACUACAGGCGUGCGCCACCACACCCAGCUAGUUUUUGUAUUUUUUAGUAGAGACAGAGUUUCACUAUAUGUUGGCCAGGCUGGUCUCGAACUCCUGACCUCAGCUGAUCCACCUGCCUCGGCCUCCCAGAGUGCUGGGAUUACAGACGCGAGCCACCAUGCCCGGCUGGAAUCAUUCAUUUCUUUUCAAGUGGGUAUCUUAUGGUAUUUUAGGGCAUGGCUGGGAGCAGUUUUGUUUUCUCUUCUCAAGACUGAGUGUUUGCAGGAUGUCAUAGAGUUCAUGUCUGCAGCUCACAGUGUCAUUGCCUGUGUCCCCACCUCCACGUACUGGCAGGUGUGCUGCAAGCUGGGCAGGUGCCCUGUGUCCCUGGGAUACCUUAACCGACACUCCUGGCCCUCCUCUGCAAGCCGUGCCCUGAUCCUCCCUGCAGGGACUGGGGAUUGGGUCUGCUCACCUAGAAGCCAGGAUACCUGGCUGAGGGCACUUCUCUCCCUCUUCUCUUUGAACAGAGUGGCCACAAACUCAAAGGUGCGGGAGCAAGUGCGGCUGGAGCUGAGCUUCGUCAACUCAGACCUGCAGAUGCUCAAGGAAGAGCUGGAGGGGCUGAACAUCUCGGUGGGCGUCUAUCAGAACACAGAGGAGGCAUUUACGAUUCCCCUGAUUCCUCUUGGCCUGAAGGAAACGAAAGACGUCGACUUUUCAGUCGUCCUCAAGGAUUUUAUCCUGGAACAUUACAGUGAAGAUGGCUAUUUAUAUGAAGAUGAAAUUGCAGAUCUUAUGGAUCUGAGACAAGUAUGACUCUCUCACCGGGGUUCCGGUCAGCCAGCAGAACCUGCUGCUGGAGAAGGCCAGUGUCCUGUUCAACACUGGGGCCCUCUACACCCAGAUUGGGACCCGGUGCGAUCGGCAGACGCAGGCUGGGCUGGAGAGUGCCAUAGAUGCCUUUCAGAGAGCCGCAGGGGUUUUAAAUUACCUGAAAGACACAUUUACCCAUACUCCAAGUUAUGACAUGAGCCCUGCCAUGCUCAGCGUGCUCGUCAAAAUGAUGCUUGCACAAGCCCAAGAAAGCGUGUUUGAGAAAAUCAGCCUUCCUGGGAUCCGGAAUGAAUUCUUCAUGCUGGUGAAGGUGGCUCAGGAGGCUGCUAAGGUGGGAGAGGUCUACCAACAGCUACACGCAGCCAUGAGCCAGGCGCCGGUGAAAGAGAACAUCCCCUACUCCUGGGCCAGCUUAGCCUGCGUGAAGGCCCACCACUACGCGGCCCUGGCCCACUACUUCACUGCCAUCCUCCUCAUCGACCACCAGGUGAAGCCAGGCACGGAUCUGGACCACCAGGAGAAGUGCCUGUCCCAGCUCUACGACCACAUGCCAGAGGGGCUGACACCCUUGGCCACACUGAAGAAUGAUCAGCAGCGCCGACAGCUGG